rnacentral:misc_RNA from 1 species
UCCGAGUUGUCCCCGGCAGUCCCCUUAGAGUCCCCGGCAUUACCCGCUGGCAACUAAGGGCAGGGGUUGCGCUCGUUGCGGCACUUAAGCCAACACCUCACGGCACGAGCUGACGACAACCAUGCACCACCUGUGUACGGCCCCGAAGGAGCGCCGUGUUUCCACGGCUUCACCCUGCAUGUCAAGUCCUGGUAAGGUUCUUCGCGUUGCGUCGAAUUAAGCCACAUGCUCCGCCGCUUGUGCGGGCCCCCGUCAAUUCCUUUGAGUUUUAAUCUUGCGACCGUACUCCCCAGGCGGGAUGCUUAAAGCGUUAGCGGCGCCACCGAAGAGCAAGCUCCCCGACGGCUAGCAUCCAUCGUUUACGGCGUGGACUAC